rnacentral:rRNA from 1 species
AACGAACGCUGGCGGCGCGCCUAAUACAUGCAAGUCGAGCGAGAAGACGUAGCAAUACGUUUGUAAAGCGGCGAACGGGUGAGGAAUACAUGGGUAACCUACCCUCGAGUGGGGAAUAACUAGCCGAAAGGUUAGCUAAUACCGCGUACGCUCCUUGGACUUCGGUUCAGGGAGGAAAGCGAUACCGUGGGUAUCGCGCUCUUGGAUGGGCUCAUGUCCUAUCAGCUUGUUGGUGAGGUAACGGCUCACCAAGGCUUCGACGGGUAGCUGGUCUGAGAGGACGAUCAGCCACACUGGCACUGCGACACGGGCCAGACUCCUACGGGAGGCAGCAGUAAGGAAUAUUGCGCAAUGGGCGAAAGCCCUGACGCAGCGACGCCGCGUGGGGGA